rnacentral:rRNA from 1 species
GAUGAACGCUGGCGGCGUGCCUAAUACAUGCAAGUCGAGCGAACGGACGAGAAGCUUGCUUCUCUGAUGUUAGCGGCGGACGGGUGAGUAACACGUGGAUAACCUACCUAUAAGACUGGGAUAACUUCGGGAAACCGGAGCUAAUACCGGAUAAUAUUUUGAACCGCAUGGUUCAAAAGUGAAAGACGGUCUUGCUGUCACUUAUAGAUGGAUCCGCGCUGCAUUAGCUAGUUGGUAAGGUAACGGCUUACCAAGGCAACGAUGCAUAGCCGACCUGAGAGGGUGAUCGGCCACACUGGAACUGAGACACGGUCCAGACUCCUACGGGAGGCAGCAGUAGGGAAUCUUCCGCAAUGGGCGAAAGCCUGACGGAGCAACGCCGCGAGAGUGAUGAAGGUCUUCGGAUCGUAAAACUCUGUUAUUAGGGAAGAACAUAUGUGUAAGUAACUGUGCACAUCUUGACGGUACCUAAUCAGAAAGCCACGGCUAACUACGUG